rnacentral:rRNA from 1 species
AUACGGGGGGUGCAAGCGUUGUUCGGAAUUAUUGGGCGUAAAGCGCGUGUAGGCGGUUUGAUUAGUCUGAUGUGAAAGCCCUGGGCUCAACCCAGGAAGUGCAUUGGAAACUGUCAGGCUUGAAUACGGGAGAGAGUAGUGGAAUUCCUAGUGUAGGAGUGAAAUCCGUAGAUAUUAGGAGGAACACCGGUGGCGAAGGCGGCUACCUGGACCGAUAUUGACGCUGAGACGCGAAAGCGUGGGUAGC